AGCAGCCGCGGUAAUUCCAGCUCCAAUAGCGUAUAUUAAAGUUGUUGCAGUUAAAAAGCUCGUAGUUGAACUUCGGGAUCAAGGAAUCGGUCAUGCCUUGGUAUGUACUGGUUUUAUUGGUUCUCACCUUCUAAAGAACCAUAAUGUCAUUCAUUUGAUGUUAUGGGGAAUUAGGACUGUUACCUUGAAAAAAUUAGAGUGUUUAAAGCAGGCUUACGCUUGAAUACAUUAGCAUGGAAUAAUGAAAUAGGACGUUUGAUUCUAUUUUGUUGGUUUCUAGGAUCGACGUAAUGAUUAAUAGGGAUAGUUGGGGGCAUUAGUAUUCAAUUGUCAGAGGUGAAAUUCUUGGAUUUAUUGAAGACUAACUACUGCGAAAGCAUUUGCCAAGGAUGUUUUCAUUAAUCAAGAACGAAAGUUAGGGGAUCGAAGACGAUCAGAUACCGUCGUAGUCU
rnacentral:rRNA from 1 species